GACAGAGGGUGCAAACGUUGCUCGGAAUUACUGGGCGUAAAGCGCGUGUAGGCGGUUUCGCAAGUCGGGUGUGAAAGCCCAGGGCUCAACCCUGGAAGUGCACUCGAUACUACGGAGCUGGAGUACUGAAGAGGAGAGCGGAAUUCCCGGUGUAGAGGUGAAAUUCGUAGAUAUCGGGAGGAACACCGGUGGCGAAGGCGGCAUCCUGGACCGACACUGACGCUGAGGAGCGAAAGCCAGGGGAGCAAACGGG
rnacentral:rRNA from 1 species